rnacentral:lncRNA from 1 species
AAAAAAAAAUUAAAAGCCACCCGAACAGUGCUGCAAAUCAGUUGAGGAAAGAGGAUUUUGCCUGCCUUCUUCCUUAUUAUUUUCCCUGCUGCAAGCCUGCUUUGCAAUCCGUAGAGUCUUAUGCUUGUUUGGUGUUCUUAACAUUCCAGUGGAAAUACUGUACCUUAUGGACACAGACAUCAGUCCCAGCUCCCUUUUUUUCCUCGUCUGAAUUAGAAGCUUCAGGAAUGUGCUAAUUGGCGGCGGCCUUGUUAGAGGGGCAAAAGACAGAGCACAAAGAAUUUUCAGUACAAGAUCAUUUGUCAUCAAGUUACGUGUCUUGCCAACAGCAUCCAGCAAGUGACUCAAAGCAGACAAAUAGUUUAUUUCUAUAUACUGAGCUGCCCAAAGGCUACAUGGAGAAAAUGUGGUGAUUAUUGUCCUUCCUUGAUACCAUCCCCUUUGGAAGCCUGUUCCCAUGUUGUUUCACAUGUUAAACAUUUGGAAAACAAAGUUUGAUCCAAAGGUGACUGAAGUCAACAGGAAUCUUUGCACUGAUUUUAAUGAGUCUUUGGAGUGAAGAAGGUAUAAGAACAGAUACACUCUGAAAAUUCUUGUUUAUAUAAGGGGGGAAGGUACUUUUAAAAUGCCAAAAAUACACCAGAAUAAAAUGGUUUCUGAAUACA